rnacentral:rRNA from 1 species
UACGGGGGGGGCAAGCGUUGUUCGGAAUUACUGGGCGUAAAGGGCUCGUAGGCGGCCAACUAAGUCAGACGUGAAAUCCCCAGGCUCGACCUGGGAACUGCGUCUGAUACUGGAUGGCUUGAAUUCGGGAGAGGGAUGCAGAAUUCCAGGUGUAGCGGUGAAAUGCGUAGAUAUCUGGAGGAAUACCGGUGGCGAAGGCGGCAUCCUGGACCGACAUUGACGCUGAUGAGCGAAAGCUAGGGGAGCAAACGGG